rnacentral:rRNA from 1 species
GAUGAACGCUAGCGGCAGGCCUAACACAUGCAAGUCGAGGGGUAGGGUUAGCUUGCUAACUUGAGACCGGCGCACGGGUGCGUAACGCGUAUGCAAUCUACCUUGUACAGGGGGAUAGCCCAGGGAAAUUUGGAUUAAUACCCCAUGGUGUUAUGAUGUGGCAUCACAUUAUAACUAAAGUUCCAACGGUACAAGAUGAGCAUGCGUCCCAUUAGCUAGUUGGUGUGUUAACGGCAUACCAAGGCAAUGAUGGGUGGGGGUCCUUAGAGGGAGAGCUCCCAGACUGGUACUGAGAUACGGACCAGACUCCGACGGGAGGCAGCAGUGAGGAAUAUUGGUCAAUGGGCGUAAGCCUGAACCAGCCAUGCCGCGUGCAGGAUGACGGUCCUAUGGAUUGUAAACUGCUUUUAUACGGGAAGAAACACUCCUACGUGUAGGAACUUGACGUUACCGUAAGAAUAAGGAUCGGCUAACUCCGUGCCAGCCGCCGCGGUAA